UGUAUAACCCAGGCUUGACAGUAACAGAUCGAUGUGACAGGUCUUCCAGUAGUACACAGAAGAUAACGAUACUCAAUAGGCUUCCUGUAAUUAACAACCUUCCAAGUACUGUGUCAAUAUUAGAGGAUACACCAGAUAAUACUCUUAUAUUUACAAUAAAUGCAACAGACACCGUUACUGACCCGUUAACAUGCGACAAGGCAGGAGGAGGCGGUAUUCCAUUUUCUGUUUCUGUCAUACCAUCAACAACAGAUAAUGGCGUGUUCAUGAACCCUGGUGUGACAUUGAAUUAUGAUAAUAACCCUUCUUACACACUAACUGUAAGAUGUGAUGAUGACGAUGACACUGUAGAUGGCGUAUUGACAAUCAAUAUUAUACCCAAUCAGGCUCCUGUUAUCAAUAGCUUGCCGGAUUCUGUAAGUUUCCUGGAAGACGUCAAUACCAACACCUUACUACAUACAAUCAAUGUAACGGACUUUGAAGGAGAUUCAGUUUCAUGUACUCUCAAUCCUACCAGUGGUAUAUUUGAUGUUUCACUCAUACCUGCUUUGAACGUUGAAUAUGGAAUUUUCCUGACAGGAGGGACAACUCUUGACUACGAUACAACGAACUCCUACUCAUUGGCAGCAAAGUGUGAAGACCAAAGACGAAGUGAUACUGAAACUUUUACCAUUAAUUUGAUACGU